UGGUGAACCAGCGGAGGGAUCAUUACCGAGUUUACAACUCCCAAACCCCUGUGAACAUACCUAUACGUUGCCUCGGCGGAUCAGCCCGCGCCCCGUAAAAAGGGACGGCCCGCCCGAGGACCCCUAAACUCUGUUUUUAGUGGAACUUCUGAGUAAAACAAACAAAUAAAUCAAAACUUUCAACAACGGAUCUCUUGGCUCUGG
rnacentral:misc_RNA from 1 species